rnacentral:tRNA from 1 species
AGGGUUGUAGCUCAGUGGAACAGCGCCUGCCUGGCAAACACGAGGCUCUGAGUUCAAUUCUUGGUACCUA